CAGCUCAUCAUCUUCACAUUUCAUCUGACUUUUCAGCAGCCACCAGACUGAAUGAGUAGCAGGAUAAGGUCAACAGGUGAAAUCAGACACAGCAGGAAUCAUUUCAUUCAUGGAUCUUGAAGGGCAGAAGCUGCAAGAUGCCUGGCAACAGUAUGUGGAGACAGGAAGAGCCUUUCAGUACAUCUGCAAACUGCAAGUACAGGUGGGUGUGGGGAGAACAGCUGGAAGAUCAAGAAGAAACAGGGACAUCAUGUAUCAAACUUCCUUCCUAGGCGGCUUCUGGAGCAGCAGGGCUCUUUAUUAUGAUUUUAGAAUAAGCUCCUACUCACUCACUGAUUUCUUUGAGACAAUAUCUUACAGUCUCAAGAACUCUCUGUGGGAAAACAGUCAAAUCUGAAGGAAGAAAAUAUGAAGGAGGCAUGAAAAUUACCUUCAAAAUAUGCAAAGAAGGGAG
rnacentral:lncRNA from 14 species